GUCUGAGAGGAUGGUCAGCCACACUGGGUCUGAGACACUGCCCAGACUCCUACGGGGGGCUGCAGUCGAGGAUCAUUCGCAAUGCGCGAAAGCGUGACGAUGCGACGCUGCGUGGAGGAUGACGGCUUUCGGGUUGUAAACUCCUGUCAUGAGGGAACAGUCGUUUGGCGGUUAAUACCCGUCAGACUCGAUGGUACCUCAAGAGGAAGCCACGGCUAACUCUGUGCCAGCAGCCGCGGUAAUACAGAGGUGGCGAGCGUUGUUCGGAUUUACUGGGCGUAAAGCGUGCGUAGGUGGCGUUGUAUGUCGGAUGUGAAAGCCCACGGCUCAACCGUGGAACUGCAUUCGAAACUGCGGUGCUAGAGUACAGGAGGGGAGAGCGGAAUUCUUGGUGUAGCGGUGAAAUGCGUUGAUAUCAAGAAGAACACCGGUGGCGAAGGCGGCUCUCUGGAAUGAUACUGACACUGAGGCACGAAAGCUGGGGGAGCGAACAGGAUUAGAUACCCUGGUAGUCCCAGCCGUAAACGGUGCGCACUUGGUGUUGGCGGUAUUGACCCCGCCAGUGCCGGAGCUAACGCGUUAGGUGCGCCGCCUGGGGAGUACGGUCGCAAGGCUAAAACUCAAAGAAAUUGACAGGGGCCCGCACAAGCGGAGGAGCAUGUGGCUUAAUUCGAUGCAACGCGAAGAACCUUACCAGGGCUUGACAUAAUGCUGCAAGCCACCCGAAAGGGAGGACGCCUUCGAGGGUGCAUUACAGGUGCUGCAUGGCUGUCGUCAGUUCGUGCCGUGAGGUGUUGGGUUAAGUCCCGCAACGAACGCAACCCCUGUGGUUAGUUGCCACUCCCGGUGAUGAGCCGGGAAGCACUUUAGCCAGACUGCCCGUACAAGCGGGAGGAAGGUGGGGACGACGUCAAGUCAGUAUGGCCCUUACGCCCUGGGCUGCACACGUGCUACAAUGGUCGGUACAGAGGGACGCAAUGCCGCGAGGUGGAGCAAAUCCCCAAAACCGGCCUCAGUUCGGAUUGGAGUCUGCAACUCGACUCCAUGAAGUCGGAUUCGCUAGUAACGGCGUAUCAGCUACGGCGCCGUGAAUACGUUCCCGGGCCUUGUACACACCGCCCGUCACAUCAUGAAAGCCGUCUGCACCCGAAGUCGCUGAGCCAACCAAUUUAUUGGAGGCAGGUGCCGAAGGUGUGGGUGGUGAUU
rnacentral:rRNA from 1 species